UUCCGUUGCCGGGCAGAACAUGCUGACGACUCCCCAGAACUCUUAUCGAUAGAGUCGUUUGGCACCUCAAUGUCCACUCAUAACAUCC